GGCACAGCACGUGGUGGGCGACACUCAGUUGUUCUCGGUGCAGCGCCCCGGCACGCGGCCGGCGCAUCGGCCUAAGGACCCAUGGAGCACCGUAGCGCAUAGCCGCUCGGACCGCGACCCCAGGUCAGUCGGGACUACCCGCUGAGUUUAAGCAUAUAAAUAAGCGGAGGAGAAGAAACUUACAAGGAUUCCCCUAGUAACGGCGAGCGAACCGGGACCAGCCCAGCUUGAGAAUCGGGUUGGCUUCGUCGCCCGAAUUGUAGUCUGGAGAGGCGUCCUCAGCGACGGACCGAGCCCAAGUUCCCUGGAAAGGGACGCCUGGGAGGGUGGAGAGCCCCGUCCGGCCCGGACCCUGUCGCACCACGAGGCGCCGUCAACGAGUCGGGUUGUUUUGGGAAUGCAGCCCAAAUCGGGCGGUAAACUCCGUCCAAGGCUAAAUACAGGCGAGAGACCGAUAGCGAACAAGUACCGCGAGGGAAAGAUGAAAAGACUUUGAAAAGAGAGUCAAAGAGUGCUUGAAAUUGCCGGGAGGGAAGCGGAUGGGGGCUGGCGAUGCGCCCCCGGUCCGUAUGCGGAACGGCUCCUGCUGGUCCGCCGAUCGGCUCGGGGCGUGGACCGUUGUCGGCCGUGCCGGCGGCCUAAGCCCGGGGGCCCUAGGCGCCUCCGGCAGCCGUCGUCGCACGGCCGGUCUCCGCGCGCCGCAAGGCGCGCCCCUCGGGGCGCUGCGCUACAACGGCCUGCGAGCUCCCCAUCCGACCCGUCUUGAAACACGGACCAAGGAGUCUGACAUGCGUGCGAGUCGACGGGUUCUGAAACCUGGGAUGCGCAAGGAAGCUGACGAGCGGGAGGCCUUCACGGGCCGCACCGCUGGCCGACCCUGAUCUUCUGUGAAGGGUUCGAGUUGGAGCACGCCUGUCGGGACCCGAAAGAUGGUGAACUAUGCCUGAGCGGGGCGAAGCCAGAGGAAACUCUGGUGGAGGCUCGAAGCGAUACUGACGUGCAAAUCGUUCGUCGACUUGGGUAUAGGGCGAAAGACUAUCGAACCAUCUAGUAGCUGGUUCCCUCCGAAGUUUUCCCUCAGGAUAGCUGGAGCCCAUUACGAGUUCUAUCAGGUAAAGCAAUGAUUAGAGGCUCGGGGGCGCAACCCCUCGACCUAUUCUCAAACUUUAAAUAGGUAGGACGGCACGGCUGCUCCGGUGAGCCGUGCCACGGAUCGGGAGCUCCAGUGGGCCAUUUUGGUAAGCAGAACUGGCGAUGCGGAUGAACCGGAAGCCGGGUUACGUGCCGAACUGCGCGCUAACUAGAACCCACAAGGUGUUGGUCGAUAAGACAGCAGGACGGUGUCAUGGAAGUCGAAUCCGCUAAGGAUGUGUAACAACUCACCUGCGAAUCAACUAGCCCCGAAAAUGGAUGGCGCUGAAGCGCGCGAACCCACACCCGGCCAUCUGGCGAGCGCCAUGCCCCGAUGAGUAGAGGGCGCGGCGGGCCGCCGCGUGCCGGCCGGGGGACGACCGGGAACGGUCCUCUUCGGGGGCCUCCCCGGGCGUCGACAACCGACUCAGAACUGGUACGGACAAGGGGAAUCCGACUGUUUAAUUAAAACAAAGCAUUGCGAUGGUCCCCACGGAUGCUGACGCAUGUGAUUUCUGCCCAGUGCUCUGAAUGUCCAAAGUGAAGAAAUUCACCAAGCGCGGGUAACGGCGGGAGUAACUAUACUCUCUUAAGGUACCAAAUGCCUCGUCAUCUAAUUAUGACGCGCAUGAAUGGAUAACGAGAUUCCCACUGUCCUGUCUACUAUCCGCGAAACCACAGCCAAGGGAACGGGCUUGGCGAAUCAGCGGGGAAAGAAGACCCUGUUGAGCUUGACUCUAGUCCGACUUUGUGAAAUGACUUGAGAGGUGUAGGAUAAGUGGGAGCCCUCGGGCGCAAGUGAAAUACCACUACUUUUAACGUUAUUUUACUUAUUCCGUGGGUCGGAAGCGGGCAUCGCCCCUCCUUUUGCUCUAAGGCCUGGCCUCGCCGGCCGAUCCGGGCGGAAGACAUUGUCAGGUGGGGAGUUUUGGCUGGGGCGGCACAUCUGUUAAAAGAUAACGCAGUGUCCUAAGAUGACUCAACGAGAACAGAAUCUCGUGUGGAACAAAAGGGUAAAAGCCUCGUUUGAUUCUGAUUUCCAGUACGAAUACGAACCGUGAAAGCGUGCCUAUCGAUCCUUAGACCUUCGGAGUUUGAAGCUAAGGUGUCAGAAAAGUUACCACAGGGAUACUGGCUUGUGGCAAGCCAAGCGUUCAUAGCGACGUUGCUUUUUGAUCCUUCGAUGUCGCUCUUCCUAUCAUGUGAAGCAGAAUUCACCAAGUGUUGGAUUGUUCACCCACCAAUAGGGACGUGAGCUGGGUUUAGACCGUCGUGAGACGGUUAGUUUUACCUACUGAUGACCGUGCCGCGAUAGUAUUCAACCUAGUACAGAGGAACCGUUGAUUCACACAAUUGGUCUCGCGCUUGGUUGAAAAGCCAGUGGCGCGAAGCUACCGUGUGCCGGAUUAUGACUGAACGCCUCUAAGUCAGAAUCCAGCUAGCAACCGGCGCCUGUGCCCGCCGCUCGCCCCGACCCACAUUAGGCGUUCACGCCCCAAGGCCCGUGCCACUGCUCAGCCCGCCCGCCGACGCGCCGCGGCGGCCGCCGCAAAACCCGGGGCGCGAGCCCGGGCGGAGCGGCCGUCGGUGCAGAUCUUGGUGGUAGUAGCAAAUAUUCAAAUGAGAACUUUGAAGGCCGAAGAGG
rnacentral:rRNA from 1 species